CUUUAUUGGAGAGUUUGAUCCUGGCUCAGGAUGAACGCUGGCGGCGUGCCUAAUACAUGCAAGUCGAGCGAAUGGAUUAAGAGCUUGCUCUUAUGAAGUUAGCGGCGGACGGGUGAGUAACACGUGGGUAACCUACCCAUAAGACUGGGAUAACUCCGGGAAACCGGGGAUAAUACCGGAUAAUAUUUUGAACUGCAUAGUUCGAAAUUGAAAGGCGGCUUCGGCUGUCACUUAUGGAUGGACCCGCGUCGCAUUAGCUAGUUGGU
rnacentral:rRNA from 1 species